UUUCCGUAGGUGAACCUGCGGAAGGAUCAUUAUUGUAUAACCGAGGUGCGAGGGCUGUCGCUGACCCGAAAGGUCGUGCACGCCCGAGUGCCCUCACACACAUCCAUCUCACCCCUAUGUGCACCACCGCGUGGGUCCCCCUUUGGCUUGUUCGGAGGGGGGCUUACGUUUUCACACAAACUUUGUAUGCAGUGUAGAAUGUAUUUUUUGUUUUUGCGAUCACGCAAUCAAUACAACUUUCAACAACGGAUCUCUUGGCUCUCGCAUCGAGGAAGAACGCAGC
rnacentral:misc_RNA from 1 species